rnacentral:lncRNA from 1 species
CAAACCAGCACAGAUGUUCUGAACUGAUGUGUGGCUUCUUUUCAUGUCAACUCCUUUUGCCGUAAUGGAUGCAGUGGAAUCACAAUGUUUACAGAGCACUUCAGUUUACAAACAGCAAGACCAUCUGUCUGGAAGCCAGCCGAGGGACUGUGUGCAAAUGACGAGACGAGACGCUUGGAUCCUGUUCCCAUCCUAGACCAGGGCUACCGUACACAGAACUGGGCACUUUACUGCCGGGAGACUUCUGUGUUAAAAAUUUUUUUCUGACUAAAAAUUUGGCAUUUGAAGAUGUGGUAUUCAUAUGGGAUUUUGUCCACCAUUGUCAAGAUUGCAAUAUUAAAAAUCAUACUGGUC